AAGAGAUUCAAACUGCCUGAACUAGCCUGUCAGUUUUCACAGCUUUCAAUUCUCUCUCACACACACACCCUCCAAACUGCUCUUUUCUCUCCAAACACCAAAACCGAACUGCCUGGAGCUCUUUUUUUCCUCUCUAAGAUUUGGCUCCUCCCAUCUGCUCUGGUUGGCCAAUCCUAGGAGUCUCUCUCUAAGCUCCUCCCUAUUUCUAACCACACUCAAGAUGGCUGCCUGGCAUUCCUCUACAAAAUGGAGGAUUGCCUCACUCACUGUUACCCAGACUUCAUUCCAGGCCUAAUAGAUAUCUGGAUUGAAGGAUGACUGAUUCUGUAAAGGUCAGCACAUUGUGGACUGUAGCAUUAAAUAGAUGAUAUUACUCUACCAUAGUUCCCUGUUUAUUGGAACUGCAGUCAACAAAUCCAUAAAAGUUACAAAAUCUCUACGAUUAAAAACCCCGUUCCCAGGCAUCUCAGCAACAUCUGGCUCUAUCUGCGAGGGAGGAAUAGAAGAAUCUUCUCCAAUUAGCAAGUCUCCAGAGCCAAUAUCUUCGGGCACCUGCAGCUGUAAAGGCCCCCUCUGUGGAGGGUGAAAUGCCAGUAUAAUCCUCAGCAUUAUUUGUGUCAAAGUGCAAGUCCUGAACCACUGCAGGCCUUGGUGCCCUGGCUGGCUGGGAUCUAACAGUUCCAUUUGCUCAAGCCACUUUGCAAAACAACCAAUUUGGCCUCAAUUAUCUUUUUUAAAAAAUAUAUUGCACCUCCCAGAAGGUGGUGUCAUUAAUCUGCACUUCAGCUCUCUGCUGAUUCAGAAACUUGUGCAUUUUACUGAAGGCAAGAGCCAGAUCUGAACUGUAAACAGCAUCAUGAAAACCAAUUACUUUGUUGUCCCAGCCAGUAUGCAUUGUUACAUAUAAUCUGAUACCUGCACAUUUACUAGCCAUUUCUUUAUACUUCAAUCAGAAUAUUAAGAUAAAGUCUAAUUUAAG